rnacentral:rRNA from 1 species
AUUGAACGCUGGCGGCAGGCCUAACACAUGCAAGUCGAGCGGAGCGGCGGACGGGCGAGUAAUACCUAGGAAGCUGACUGGCAGCGGGGGGUAACGUACGGAUUGGAACGGUAAUUCCUUAUACUAUCAGAUGAGCCUAGCUCGGAUUAGCUAGUUGGUGAGGGAAGGGCGCACCAAGGCUACGAUCCGUAACUGGGCUGAGAGGAUGAUCAGUCACACUGGAACUGAGACACGGUCCAGACUCCUACGGGAGGCAGCAGUGGGGAAUAUUGGACAAUGGGCGAAAGCCUGAUGCAGCCAUGCCGCGUGUGUGAAGAAGGUCUUCGGGUUGUAAAGCACUUUCAGUGGGGAGGCGUUACCCACAGAAUAAGCACCGGCUAACUCGGUGCCAGCAGCCGCGGUAAUAC